rnacentral:rRNA from 1 species
UACGAAGGGGGUUAGCGUUGCUCGGAAUCACUGGGCGUAAAGCGCACGUAGGCGGAUUGCUAAGUCAGGGGUGAAAUCCUGGAGCUCAACUCCAGAACUGCCCUUGAUACUGGCGACCUUGAGUCCGGGAGAGGUGAGUGGAACUGCGAGUGUAGAGGUGAAAAUCGUAGAUAUUCGAAAGAACACCAGUGGAGACGGCGGCUCACUGGCCCGGUACUGACGCUGAGGAUCGAAAACGUGGGGAGCAAACAGG